AUGAACGCUUCUCUAGGACUAGUGGCUGUGAUGCUCUUAGCGCUUGGAGUAACCAGUGAAGACUACUCAGUGGCCCAGGAUGAAGGCCAAGUCAUCGUCUCCAAAGGGGCUUUCCUGACCAUAAACUGCACGUAUACAGCCAAAGGGUAUCCCACGCUUUUCUGGUACGUCCAGUAUGCGGGUGAAGGUCUACAGCUUCUUCUGAAAGCCACCAAGGCUGAUGAGAAGGGACGUAACAAAGGCUUUGAAGCCACAUACAAGAAAGAAACAUCUUCCUUCCACCUGGAGAAAGCCGCAGUGCAAGAGUCAGACUCAGCUGUGUACUACUGCCUUCUUAUAUCUGGUUCUUCGAUUAACUGUUGCAUCAUCUCCUGA